rnacentral:rRNA from 1 species
AUUGAACGCUGGCGGCAGGCCUAACACAUGCAAGUCGAACGGUAGCACGAAAAGGUUUGCUUCUUUGCGGACGCGUGGGGCGGGGGGGUGAAAUGUCUAUCAGAAUCCACGAUGGCGGGGGGUAACUCGUGGAAACGGUUACUCAAACAGCACAUAGUCCCAACGGGAAAGAGGAGGGGAUCAUGGCACCUUUCCCGAGUGUAUGAGCAGAUGGGAUUAGCUCGUUGUUGGGGUAACGGCUCACCAAGAGGCCGAUCCCUAGCUGGUCUGAGAGGAUGACCAGCCACACUGGAACUGAGACACGGUCCAGACUCCUACGGGAGGCAGCAGUGGGGAAUAUUGCACAAUGGGCGCAAGCCUGAUGCAGCCAUGCCGCGUGGAUGAAGAAGGCCUUCGGGUUGUAAAGUACUUUUAUUGGGGAAGAAGAGAAGAAGGUUAAUACCUUGGCGCAUUGACGUUACCCAAAGAAUAAGCACCGGCUAACUCCGUG